GAAGCUCUUCAAAGGCAGGAAUUUCUGUUCGUUUUGUUCACUAACUUAUCCCAAGCACCUACCACAACCUAGGACUAUAAAGACUGAAUGAGAAGUACUGGAUAACAGACUGCCUGAGAGUCAAAGGAGGAAAUGGAGCUAACAAUAUACACUUUUCUAAAUAUCACCUUCACUCACUUUGGAGAAAAAGAAAAGAUUUGUCAUUCCUCAAACCUAGGAACCCAACUGAAUUGUGGUGAUAAUCUUCUCUACCUUAAGACACACAGUAGCAGAACUGGAAUAAAACCAGCUUCAUUAUGGACUAAAGUCCAGAUUUAUUCCAAUAUCUGAGGCUGACUCGGAAAUGGGCCUUAAGAAUCCAAGUAAGGAAAGUUCUGGAUGUGUAUUUGACUGAUAUAUGCAGCAUAAGGUAAAUAAAAGAUGUAAGAGUUGGU